GAUGAACGCUGGCGGCGUGCCUAAUACAUGCAAGUCGAGCGAACAGACGAGGAGCUUGCUCCUCUGACGUUAGCGGCGGACGGGUGAGUCACACGUGGAUAACCUACCUAUAAGACUGGGAUAACUUCGGGAAACCGGAGCUAAUACCGGAUAAUAUCUUGAACCGCAUGGUUCAAUAGUGAAAGACGGUUUUGCUGUCACUUAUCGAUGGAUCCGGGCUGCAUUAGCUAGUUGGUAAGGUAACGGCUUACCACGGCAACGAUGCGUAGCCGAACUGAGAGGGGGAUCGGCCACACGGGAGCUGGGACACGGACAAGGCGCCUAAGGGAGGGAGCAGUAGGGUACCGUCCGCAAUGGGCGGAAGCCUGACGGAGCGACGGCGCGUGAGUGAUGAAGGCCUUCGGAUCGUAAAACUCGGUUAUUAGGUAAGAACAAAUGUGUAAGUAACUAUGCACGUCUUGACGGUACCGGGUAAGAAAGCCACGGCUAACUACGUG
rnacentral:rRNA from 1 species